rnacentral:lncRNA from 10 species
GUUAAACUUCUAUACUGUAAGAAAAGAACUAAAUUAUUAUUUGUUUUAUUUUUACCUUUGAAAUUAUUAUAAUGGUAUAUGAGUGAAAAUAUUGUUAGUUAACAUUAUUUGUGUUCUUCUCAAAUUUAUUUUUGUCACAAUUUCUAUCUCUUUUCUAGGAAAACAGGUAGAUGUCUGUGACCUAGAAGAUGCACUAAAAGACAUGGAAAUAGAGGUCCCAUAUGAGGACUACUUGCAUUUAGUAAAAACUUUGCCGCUUGAUGCUGAAGGAAAGGUGUAUCAAAAAAGGUUGCUGGAUGGUAUAAAGACUGUUAAAAGAGGAAAGGUUGAUAUAAAUGACCUGGAUAAAUUUCUGGAAAAUAUGGGGAUUGAGCUCUCAGAAAAAGAACUUGAAGAUUUUUCAAAAGACCUACCAGUUGAUGUUGAUGAGAAGGUUGAUCUGAAAAACAUGAUGCUGAGAAUAAAAGAUUUUACAGGAGAAAAGGUUGAUGCCAGAGAUCUGAAAAAUGUUCUUGGAGACAUGGGGAUAGAAGUCAAUGAUAAGGACUGCGUGGAACUGCUAAAAUUACUGCCAGUUGAUGGUGAUAAGAAAGUUUUUCGGAAUAGAUUGCUAACGGGUUUGAAGUCUUUCAAAGGAGGAAAGGUUAAUGUCAAUAAAAUAGAUGAUGCUCUUGAAAACAUGAGAAUCCCACUUGAGGAAGAAGAAAUUGAGAAACUGUGUGAAGACUUACCUGUUGAUGAUGAGAGAAGAGUUAAACUGGAUUUACUUCUGAAUGAAGUAGAUGAAAUUUUAG